GGAAGACGAAAGGGAAUAAGGUGGACUUGGAAGGGACAAUUGCAAAAUAAGAGGCCCACUUGUGUUAGACAUCACGUCCCAUCAUAAAGCAAAGAAAACAAAAUGAAAAGAAAAAAAAAAGGGAUAAGAAGAAAAGGAGUAAAGAUGCGUGGUACAGGGUAAAUUAAGCAACCUGACAUUAUCAAUCCUCAUCCCCAAAACAAGAGUUGCUAUUCUCCUUCGAAAUUCACGAGAAGUCAUGAAGAAGAUCAAGUUUUAUCAUACUCUACAAUUCUAUCCCUUCAAACCCAGAAAACCUAGGUUCUUUUCGGCUAUAAAAUCCCCAAUUAUCCCUCCUAGAAAACACACAAGUAUUACCACAAAAAUACGGGAAGUUCGUGAGGCUUAGUAGAGCACGAAUUGGUCCAAGGUUGAUCAAUUGGAAGGCGAAGGGACGAAUUUGAAGAUGGAUUCGAGCAGCGGCUGUUUGUUUCUUGGCUCAAUCCAUAAGUGCAUGUACGCGUACGAUAAAGAAGCAAGACUUCAGCGCAUAAGAGCGUACAUAGACUUGAUAAACGGAGCAAAACCAGAAGAGCUUCUUCAUAUUUUCAGUGCUGAAUCAGCACUUGAAUUAGAAGAUCCUUUGUCGAUCAAAUAUAACAUGGCAGAACAAACAUUAAAAGAACUGGGAGCCCCUAAAACAGGAGAAGAUCCUCUCUACAUUGUCUUUUCAGAACUAUAGACUCCCCUGAAACUGAACUCGGGGUUCCUUAGUCUUCUCCCUAAAUUCUAUGGGAACGCAGGAAGACAAAAGGGAAUAAGGUGGACUUGGAAGGGACAAUUGCAAAAUAAGAAGCCCACUUGUGUUAGACAUCACGUGCCAUCAUAAUGCAAAGAAAAGCAAAAUGAAAAGAAAAAAAGGGGAUAAGAAGAAAAGGAGUAAAGAUGCGUGGUACAGGGGAAAUUAAGCAACCUGACAUUAUCAAUCCUCAUCCCCAAAACAAGAGUUGCUAUUCUCCUCCGAAAUUCACGAGAAGUCAUGAAGAAAAUCAAGUUUUAUCCUACUCUACAAUUCUAUCCCUUCAAACCCAGAAAACCUGGGUUGUUUUCGGUUAUAAAAUUCCCAAUUAUCCCUCCUAGAAAACACACAAGUAUUACCACAAAAAUACGGGAAGUUCGUGAGGCUUAGUAGAGCACGAAUUGGUCCAAGGUGAUCAAUUGGGUGGUAUUGGAAGGCGAAGGGAUGAAUUUGACGGUGGAUUCGUGCAGCGGCUGUUUGUUUCUUGGCUCAGUUCAUAAGUUCCCCCUAAUUUACUCCUCAUCUUUUAAUUUUGUGAUUAUUUUGGUUGCUUCUACUCGGUGAAUUGGAUGUAAUUUGAUCUUUAAUUUCCUGAUUUAUGUUUCGUAGUUUAAAUGCUGAGUAUAAUCGUCUUUAAAUACUCAAGUUUGAUACUUAAUUGAUCCACAUGAUUUCCUUGUUUUUAUAUGAACGUUUAAUUUAUUUAUA